UCGGUUGAACAACCCUUCGUAUCAAUGUGAACAGUAGUUAACGACACAAGGAGAUGUAAAUGUUGUUGAAUGUGAAAACCCCUUUAGUACUUAUUUUUUGGUGUCGUUUCAUCUGUUUGUGCUUUCAACAUGAAAGAAAAUUUUAAGUUAUUUUUUUUUACUGUGAUUGUCAAUAUUCUUACAAUAUCUAUGAUAUUCGAUUUUUGAAAACAUAUAUUUACAAGAUAUUACCUUUUGUGUAUUAACUGUGCUCUUUGCACAUAGUUCACACUUAAAUUUUAAAGAACGCGUAAAAUAAAGUGGGAACACUACUUGUUGAUACGUAGAACGAAAGAAUUUCUUUCGUUAAAUGAUGUAGCCGGCGUCCCCAAGCCAACCCAAGCCAUUCAGUUACAGUGUGAAUGUCUGAUCGAUAAGAGGAGCUAUUCAGCGGAGAGCUGAAGCAAAAAUAAAAAGAGAUUUGUUCGAUUUCCCAUUUGCCGCCGCCCGCCCGUCGCCUGCUGCCAUCACGUCGUUUCAUGCAUCAAAAAUUUAAGUGCUCUUCUUACACCACGUUGCCACCACCACGCUGCCGCCACAUAUUGUCUGCCUCCGGUGUCGUUGUCGUCAUUUGCCACACCACGUUCCUUCCAGCCACCACGUUGUUCCCGCCAGCCACCACCAUCAUCACGCUAAAAUAAUUCCUGUGCCAUCACGUUGCCACCACCACGCUGCCGCCACAUCCGCCACAUUAUUGUCUGCCUCCGCUGUCGUCGUCAUUUGCCACACCACGUUCUAUCCAGCCACCACGUUGCUCCCGCCAGCCGCCACCAAUCUUGCUAAAAUAAUUCCUGACUGUAAAGAUGCGGCAUUACUUUGGGCUCUGCAUGGAUACUUUGUACCUUUCCAAAAAGUUAUAAAAAAAGACACAGAUGGUAGGAAACACGUUAUACGACAUACCAUCAAGGACUCGCAGUAUUCAUUCGUUUGGAUAGGCAACACAAUUCAAGCUUAAGAAGACCAUAUUGCCUUCCUCAACAAAAUGGGUGAGAAUACCCACACACCAAAUAAAAAAUGUAUGUAUGUACAAAUGCUCUAGUUUUGGUAAAUGAGAUCAUAAAAUUUCAAUUCUUAUAUUAUUUUGAUUCAAAUUUCCCUUAAUUUCACUUUUUAUAAUUUGUUUCACUUUCUUAUCUGAAGAUAAAUCUACAAAAUAAUGUAAUAAAAUUUUU